UGAAAAGCGUCAAAAUGGAGGUUUUGGUGAUAGUGGAGAAUGCGGGGGGGUGAAAAUAGCGAUUUUUGUUCAAUUCCUGGCAAUGGCGAUUUUUGGUGGGUCCCAAAACCACCGUUUUUUGCCCCAAAAUUGUUUACUGACACAAAGUCGUUUUUCCUCCGAAAAACGCCAUUUUGGGGCUCUAAAAUUGCACUUUUUUAAAUGAAAUGAGAAUUUUUGUGUACAGAUUGAGGCGAUUUGGGGACAAAGUGAGAAAGAAAACCCGAAUUUUGGUGCUAAAACGGUGAAAAAAAGCACUGCUAAAAAUCACCAUUUUCGGUCAGGACGGAUUGAGGGAUUACGGGUUGAAAAAGAGGAUUUUUGGGCAAAUUUCUGCCUCAAAACACACGUUUUUGGUUGGAAAAUUCUCUUUUUGAUGUUUUCCCCUUCAGCCUUUCUUUCGAUUCAAAACUUUGCAUUCUCUUCACAGAAAUUAUGAUUUUUGCAGGUUUUCUUUUCCCAAAAAUGGAUUUUCUGACACAAAAUCGUUUUUCCUUGGAAAAACGCCAUUUUGGGGCUCUAAAAUUGCACUUUUUUAAAUGAAAUGAGAAUUUUUGUGUACAGAUUGAGGCGAUUUGGGGACAAAGUGAGAAAGAAAACCCGAAUUUUGGUGCUAAAACGGUGAAAAAAAGCACUGCUAAAAAUCACCAUUUUCGGUCAGGACGGAUUGAGGGAUUACGGGUUGAAAAAGAGGAUUUUUGGGCAAAUUUCUGCCUCAAAACACACGUUUUUGGUUGGAAAAUUCUCUUUUUGAUGUUUUCCCCUUCAGCCUUUCUUUCGAUUCAAAACUUUGCAUUCUCUUCACAGAAAUUAUGAUUUUUGCAGGUUUUCUUUGCCCAAAAAUGGAUUUUCUGACACAAAAUUGUUUUUCCUUGGAAAAACGCCAUUUUGGGGCCAUAAAAUUGCACUUUUUUAAAUGAAAUGAGAAUUUUCGUGUACAGAUUGGGACGAUUUGGGUCCAAAGUAAGAAAGAAAGCCCAAAUUUUGGUGCUAAAACAAUGAAAAAAACCACUGCUAAAAAUCACCAUUUUCAGUCGGAAUGGAUCGAGGGAUUCGGGGCAAAAAAGGGGGAUUCUGGGCAAAUUUCUCCCUCAAAAUACACAUUUUUUGGUCAUAAAAUUCUCUUUUUGAUAUUUUCCCCUUCAGUGCUUCUUUUGAUUUAGAGGCGUCCAUUCUGUUCACAGAAACUGCAAUUUUUGAAGGUUUUCUUUGCCCAAAAAUGGAUUUUCUCACACAAAAUCACUUUUCCUCCAAAAAAUGCCAUCUUGGGGCCAUAAAAUGGCAUUAUUAGUUACAAAACAAUAUUUUUGUGUUCAGGUUGAGAUCCAGGAGAUGAUUUUGGGUCCAAAGUCAGAAAUAAACCCCAGAUUUUGGUGCUAAAACAGAGAAUAUGACCACUGCUAAAAACCACCAUUUUCAGUCAGAACGGAUUGAGGGAUUCGGGGUUGAAAAAGGGGAUUUUGGGCCAAUUUCUGCCUCAAAACAUGAAUUUUUGGUCAUAAAAUGCUAUUUUCGUGGUUUUCCCCUUCAGUGCUUCUUUCGAUUUAGAGUCUUGCAUUCUGUUCACAAAAACUGCAGUUUCUGAAGGUUUUCUUUGCCCCAAAAUGGAUUUUCUGGCACAAAUUCAUUUUUCCUCCGAAAAAACGCCAUUUUGGGGCCAUAAAAUGGCAUUAUUUGUUAUAAAACAGUAUUUUUGUGUUCAGGUUGAGAUCAAGGAGAUGAUUUUGGGGCCAAAGUCAGAAACAAACCCCAAAUUUUGGUGCUAAAACAGAGAAAAAGACCACUGCUAAAAACCACCAUUUUCGGUCAGAGCGGAUCGAGGGAUUUGGGGGCAGAAAAGGGGAUUUUUGGGCAAAUUUCUGCCUCAAAACACACGUUUUUGGUUGGAAAAUUCUAUUUUUGAUGUUUCCAUCUUCAGUGCUUUUUUCGAUUCAAAACCUUGCAUUCUGUUCACAAAAAUUAUGAUUUUUGCAGGUUUUCUUUGCCCAAAAAUGGAAUUUCUGGCACGAAAUCGUUUUUCCUCCAAAAAACGCCAUUUUGGGGCCCUAAAAUUGCACUUUUAUAAAUGAAAUGAGAAUUUUCGUGUACAGAUUGAGGCGAUUUGGGGACAAAAUGAGAAUCGUGCCCCAAAUUUUGGUGCUAAAACAGAGAAAAAGACCACUGCUAAAAACCACCAUUUUCAGUCAGAACGGAUCGAGGGAUUCGGGGUUGAAAAAGGGGAUUUUGGGCCAAUUUCUGCCUCAAAACACACGUUUUUGGUUGGAAAAUUCUCUUUUUGAUGUUUUCCCCUUCAGCCUUUCUUUCGAUUCUAAACUUUGCAUUCUGUUCACAGAAAUUAUGAUUUUUGCAGGUUUACUUUGCCCAAAAAUGGAUUUUCUGACACAAAAUCGUUUUUCCUCGGAAAAACGCCAUUUUGGGGCCCUAAAAUUGCACUUUUUUAAAUGAAAUGAGAAUUUUUGUGAACAGAUUGAGGCGAUUUGGGGACAAAAUGAGAAAGAAAACCCGAAUUUUGGUGCUAAAACACUGAAAAAAAACACUGCUAAAAAUCACCAUUUUCGGUCCGAACGGAUCGAGGGAUUUGGGGGCACAAAAUGAGGUGAAAAAAGCCAAAUUUGGGUCUGAAUUCAGACCGUGUCACAGCGGUGAAGUUUUGCAGCUGUGCCAUACGUUCGAAUGGGGCGGAUUUGCCCAAAAUUUGCAUUUUUGGGGGCAAAAAAAAGAGCUGUGGUUUCGGCCAUGGGUUGAACCGAAACCCCGAAAUAGCCCCAAAACCGCCUUUUCUCCACCCAAAAUCGGGGCUUUCCGACCCAAAGCUGCACUUUUCUCGCCCACAAUCGCAACCCCACCCCAAACUGUUGGUUUUUCACCCAAACUUUCGGGUCCCACACCCAAAACGUGGUGUUUUUCACCCAAAAUCGGUGUCUCUGCCCGAAAUCAAGCCGGUUUUCCCACUCCAAAUUGAAUGUUUUUUACCCAAAACGGAGUGGUUUUGGCCCAAAAAGGAGCGCUUUUCACCCAGAAUUGAGUGCUUUGGCCCCCAAAUUGUCCAAAAUUUGAUGGUUUUCACCCCAAAUUUUAUAACCCUGACCCAAAAUUGAGAAUAUUUCACCCCGAGUGGAGCGUUUUUACCGAAAUUGUAGUUUUUUCACCCAAAAUUGUGGUUUCUUUUAGCCCAAAAUUGAGUGUUUUGACCCAAAACUGAGCUUUGCUCACUAAAAACUGAGAUUUCCGGACCCAUAGGGACCCACAGAAACCCCAUAGAGACCCAUAGAGACCCAUAGGGACCCAUAGAGACCCAUAGGGACCCAUAGAGACACAUAGGGAC
ensembl:lncRNA